rnacentral:rRNA from 1 species
UAAGUCAUAACGACUCUCGGCAACGGAUAUCUCGGCUCUCGCAUCGAUGAAGAACGUAGCAAAAUGCGAUACGUGGUGUGAAUUGCAGGAUCCCGUGAACCAUCGAGUUUUUGAACGCAAGUUGCGCCCGAAGCCUUUAGGCCGAGGGCACGUCUGCCUGGGCGUCACGC